UACGGGGGAGCAAGCGUUGUUCGGAUUUACUGGGCGUAAAGGGCGCGUAGGCGGGCUCUCAAGUCCGGGGUGAAAUCCCACAGCUCAACUGUGGAACUGCCUCGGAUACUGGGGGCCUCGAGGGUGGUAGGGGUAUGCGGAACUAUCGGUGGAGCGGUGAAAUGCGUUGAUAUCGAUAGGAACUCCGGUGGCGAAGGCGGCAUACUGGACCACAUCUGACGCUGAGGCGCGAAAGCCAGGGGAGCAAACGGG
rnacentral:rRNA from 1 species